GGUGAUUUCGUCGUUGCUGCAGGCUGCACUUAUUAAUCACAAUCAAUGUGCGCCACUGGCUAACAACCGAUUACUGCAGGUCGCUUCCGAUUCUGAUUCAGCUUCUUCCUUUUUUCGAUUCAUCUUCGUCCUUUAUUCGAUGCGCGUCUAUAUAAUCUCCACCUCCCACUGCUCCUUCCCCUCCUCUACUCGGUGUUGUCACCUAUUCUAGCCAUGCUUCUUGCCAUGUUGUCGCUGCAGAUUUAUCACCAUCCUCCCUCAUAUCUUCGAUCAAGUCACUACUGAUACUGUGUCGAAUCCCUUCCAAUUGGUACUUAUUUUUUUCUCCCAAAUCGCCGCAGGACAGUGCUUCUAUUGUGUUGGUUCUGUCAAUCUUGAAGCCUAUUGGCCAACCUUUUCCGCUAUUAGUUUGCUUUAGGUGCUGUAACACCUCAGUAGAGGUUUGUAACUGGUUAUGCAGAUUAGUUCGGGAAAUUCUAAAGCUCGCGAUUUGAAACGGUUGCUACCCAGGUUAGUUUACAUGUACUCACAUAUACAAAGUAUAUCUUGGUAUUAUAUUUUUUACGAAAUAUAUACUCCGUCCGUUCUUAAAUAUAAAACAUUUUAGAGAUUUCACUAUGGACUACAUAUGGAUGUAUAUAAAAAUAUUUUAAAAUAUAGAUUCAUUUAUUUUGAUAUGUAUAUAGUCUAUAGUGAAUUCUUUAAAAUGUUUUGUAUUUAAGAAUGGAGGGAGUAUCAUUUAUGUGUCCCCAUGAUUCAUAAAAUUUCAUGCUAGUGACGGUGUACACUUCAGAGUCUCAAACACUACUACUAUUGGAGGAAAUAAGUUACUGUUUAUACAGUUUUGGUGUUCUGUAUCAAUACAAAUCUUAGUUUCUGACUGGUCAAUCUCUGUUUAUUUGUUCCAUAGCUACUGAUGGCAUGCAUCGAUCAAAUCCUACAAGGAGAAUUUAUUUUAACCCUCCAAGCUCAGGAGUCUUUGAUCAUAUACCCUCUUUUUUUUGCUUGCCUUGUUCUGAAUACCCCCCAACCAAUCUGCCUAAUCAUUGCUGAUGGCCCCCUCCCGACAUCUUAUCCCUUCAAUUAGAUGCUAACGAUUGGAUUUGGGCUUAAUUAUUUUCAAAAUACCAAAUAUGCCGUCCCCACUUGUGGGUAACGGCACGCCUAGCCUGGCCCGUGCCCGACCUAGCCACCACUCUCCUCAUCUCCCCUCAUGCUCACUCGUCUCCCCUCACACUCGACAUGCCGAGACCCAUCGCCGAUGCCCUGCUGCUCCAUCCGCCGCUGCGUUCGCCGCCCAUCCGUCGCCCCAGGUAAGACAAGCUCUCUCCCCAUCUUUCUUUCACAGAUUUUGUGCAAUUCCCUCUGUUCCGGUUCCUAAAUAGUUGAAACCCUAGGUUUGGAGUUGGAUUUUAUCGGUGCACUAAAGACGGGUCUCCAGUACCCCCAGACUUGUACGCGAACACCGGCUGCCCCCACAGCGGCAAGGCGCGACGCCUAGGCUCAGAGGGGAGCUAGCCCAAGAUUCACCAAGUGCAAGCCACAAGCCCCCGGCGAGUACCUUCUUGUUGGGAAGGAAACAAGGCCCUCAGCAGGAGCCCCUUGCCGGGGAGACAAGCGAAUCCUUGACAGAGCAUCCCUCUUAAGGGAGAAAGACGAUGCCCCGGCAGGGCAUCCCUGCCGGGAAGGCAGACAAGACCUCGGCAGGGCAACCCUGCUGGGAAGGAAGACGAGGCUCGGGGAGGAGCACAGGCAUGGCACGUUCUUAUGCCCCGCGAGCGCCUCCACCCCCGGUGAGCACGCCACCGACGAUUGCAUGCGUUGUGUGUCCCCCAUGCGCUAGCACAACACCCAGGUGUCGCAACACCUGGCUACGUGUCCAACUCCCCCUAAUGAGGUCAGGGAAGUCUAUCGAAGCAUUUAAUGCCCUCCUGACAAGGCAGUAACACAAUAACUGUCGGUCGGCACUGUCUCCCCCGUGAACCCAACAUUCACCACUACUCAGCCACUGUUGGUGACCAUUUUGCCUAUAAAAGGAGGCCCAAGGCUCAGUUGUAGAGGACUUUUUUACAAUUUGGAAGGCUGGAAAAUCGAUAAGCCUACUGUAACAACAAACGAAUAACUAAAACACAUGCAGGAGUACGGGUUUACACUCACGCAGCCCGAACCUGGGUAAAAACGCUUUGCCAGUGCUGAUUGUUGGUCCUACUCUUGCCGCGACCUCUCUCCCCGCCACACCAGAAAAGGGACCUUCGAGGCCCCCAUAGGUGUCGUUUUCCCGACAUCUUUGGCGCACCAGGUAGGGGGGAAGCUGGAUGCAAGGAAGCAUCGGCACCACCUCGAUCGGAUGAGCCGCGCGCCGACUCCUCAGGUUUAAGUUUGUUGUUGCAUCCUCCUAGAAGGGGAGGAGGCGGUGGCUGCUCCACUCACGCAUGAGCUCAUGGCACCUCCAUAGGUGUUGUGCAAGCGUGGGUGGAAGGAGCGGAGACCCCAAACAUUGCAUCGCCCGGCCGACACGCCUCCUCGGAAAACACCGCGUUGUUGUCGAGGGCGUGACGGGGGCUUCCGCCAGGCCUUCGAUGCAUACUCCGAGCGACGCACGUCUCCGUAGCGCUGCAGGGCCGUCGAGGGUGCGUCAAAGGCCCCGAAUCGCCCCUUCACACGCCCUCCAGGUUGCAUUUCUCCUUGGAGCACUGUGUCAUCGAAAGAUAUGUGCUUGGGGGCUCCGCCAGCAAACUCUUGCAAGAAGAGAUAAGAAAGAGCCGCGCCCCGACGAGCCUCUUUCCUGUAGAGUAGCCCACGGCCACUGGCGAAAACUUCAUUGGCAAGAAGGCCGCUAGGGGCGACACCAGCUUGCCGGGGACGCGAAUAUCCCUCCCCCCCCAAACACCUUCCGAUACAACGGCUAGGAAUGUCGCGACGCGACAGAAAAGUGCGAAAGCAAACUUUUGACCAGACUCUGGAUAGAUAGGUUGUAUCCUUCUGAAGUAUCGACUUUUGUAUGAGAAAUACGCGCACAGAGGGACCUUGCUAGGAUCAGUGCACUCUGACUCUGUUCCGAACCUGUUCAACGACUUGAGCGGCCACAGAGCGCCCUUAUCUCGUUUCAAACUCGUUCAACAUUUCGGACGACUACGUAGCACCUUAUUUCGCCUCGAGCCACGUUCGAUGAUUUAGAUGGUUGCACUGAGUGCGGUGAUACGUCCAUUUUGCAUCAUUCUUUCAUGUUGAUAUUUAUCGCUUUAUGGGCUGUUAUUACACUUCCCGGUACAAUACUUAUGCCUUUUCUCUCUUAUUUUGCAAGGUUUACAUGAAG
rnacentral:lncRNA from 1 species